rnacentral:lncRNA from 1 species
CAAAGAAAGACAAUCUUGGCUUGUUUGUCUCUCUACCCCCUGACUGCUGCUGUGUCUCAGGCCUGAGGACCUGCCAGUGGCCCUGCAGAGUCUACUGUCAGUAUCUGCCAUUGCUGAAUCCAGACAGAAGCCAGUUGACCCAGGAGCCUCAAACACACCUGUGGGAGACAGCUCCUUUGCAACUUCCUGCAUUGCAGAACAGAGCAGGGAAAAGGUCAGGAGGUCAUGGACCAGCAGAAUCCAGCUUCAAAACACAAGCCCUCCACCCAACACCAGCAGAAGUGACUGCAGAAGGCAAUCUUGAAACACUCCCCUAGCCCGGUACAGAGGCAUGGCUGAACUCUGAGAACACUUCUGGUCUACAGUCUGUAUAUCGAAAUUCCCAAGGAAACUACCUUGUCCCCAUGAUGACAGGGCUUUGACUGAACACUGAACCCUGCACGACAUACUUCCGGUGUGUAAUUAUGACACUGUCAGUGCAUCUGUGAGUCUGUAUCUGGCCACAGAUAAAUGGCUUCCUUUUCCCCACACUGCCAACUCAUAUUUAGGUAGUGAUUCUGCGGGAGAAAUUAAUGACGGCUCAUCAGUUUCCACGCACCCAUUGCCACAGCCUGAUGGGUAAUGUUCACCCUGGUUUACUUGUUUUAUAAUUUGAUUUCCUACCAGAGAUAAAUAGUGCUGUUUUUCUGAGGGCAUUGCUUGUAAGAAUUGAAAUCAACUGAAGCAUUGACUCCGAAUCACUUUGUAAGGACAGCUGUACUUUAAAUUUUUAGAAGCUCCAAUGUAUUGAGUCUACAUUUUGACUUUGCAGUGCAAAAGAAAGUAUGCUAUUAUUUUGUACUUGUUGUAUACCAGCCACUGUGUCCAGCACUUAGCAUACAUUUUUCCACUGAAUUCUCAGGGCAGGUACUAUGAUUAUAGAUGAGGAAACAGUGGCUCAGAGAGGUAACAUGAUUUGCCUAAGCCCACUCAGAGGUGUGGUCAGGACACAAACUCAGGCCUCUGGAGUCCCGGCCCAGUGAUUAUUCAUUUCUUCAUUCAGUCACUCAUUUAUCCAACAAUAGUUAUUAGUAUCUCCCAGUGCUGGGCACUGAGGAUUCAGUGGUGAACAAGAUGGUCUCACUUCUGUACUUAUGAAACCUUUAGGACUGUUUUUUCAAGAGCACAUUAUGCUUGCAAAAUAACCAUCACCUCUUAUCUCCCAGGCACUAUAAAGUUUACAAAAUGCAUUCACAUCCAUUACCUCAUUUUGAAUAAACUUACUGUACUCCCCAAUGCUUAAAUAAAU